rnacentral:rRNA from 1 species
GAUCCUGGCUCAGGAUGAACGCUAGCUACAGGCUUAACACAUGCAAGUCGAGGGGAAACGAUAUUGGAAGCUUGCUUCCGAUAGGCGUCGACCGGCGCACGGGUGAGUAACGCGUAUCCAACCUGCCCAUCGACUUGGGAAUAACCUUGCGAAAGUAAGACUAAUGCCCAAUGAUAUUUAUAGAAGGCAUCCGAAAUGAAUUAAAGAUUUAUCGGUGAUGGAUGGGGAUGCGU